rnacentral:rRNA from 1 species
CCUACGGGAGGCAGCAGUGAGGAAUAUUGGUCAAUGGCCGGAAGGCUGAACCAGCCAUGCCGCGUGAAGGUCAGUGCCCUAUGGGCGUUAAACUUCUUUUGUGCGGGAGCAAUAAUGGUCACGUUUGGCCAGACUAGAGUACCGCACGAAUCAGCAUCGGCUAACUCCGUGCCAGCAGCGGCGGUAAUACGGGGGAUGCAAGCGUUAUCCGGAUUUAUUGGGUUUAAAGGGUGCGUAGGCUGUGAGGUAAGUCAGCGGUGAAAUGCCCCCGCUCAACGGGGUGAAGUGCCAUUGAUACUGGCGUGCUGGAGUGCGGAUGCCGUAGGAGGAAUGUGUGGUGUAGCGGUGAAAUGCAUAGAUAUCACACAGAACACCGAUUGCGAAGGCAUCUCACGGAUCCGCGAUUGACGCUGAUGCACGAAAGCGUGGGUAUCAAACAGGAUUAGAUACCCUAGUAGUC